rnacentral:rRNA from 1 species
AAGACUCAAAAACUUAGUCUCAGUUCGGAUUGUUAGGCUGAAACUCGCCUACAUGAAGCUGGAGUUGCUAGUAAUCGCGAAUCAGCAUGUCGCGGUGAAUACGUUCCCGGGCCUUGUACACACCGCCCGUCACACCAUGAGAGUUGGCAAUACCCAACGUACGUGAUCUAACCCGCAAGGGAGGAAGCGUCCUAAGGUAGGGUCAGCGAUUGGGGUGAAGUCGUAACAAGGUAGC